GAUGAACGCUAGCUACAGGCUUAACACAUGCAAGUCGAGCGGAAACGGCAUCGAAAGCUUGCUUUUGAUGGGCGUCGACCGGCGCACGGGUGAGUAACACGUAUCCAACCUGCCCAUCACUUGGGAAUAACCUUGCGAAAGUAAGACUAAUGCCCAAUGACAUCCCACGAAGGCAUCCGAAUGGGAUUAAAGAUUUAUCGGUGAUGGAGGGGGAUGCGUCUGAUUAGCUUGUUGGCGGGGUGACGGCACCAAGGCAACGAUCAGUAGGGGUUGUGAGAGGAAGGUCCCUCACAUGGGAACUGAGACACGGGCCAAAGUCACACGGGAGGCAGCAGUGAGGAAUAUUGGUGAAUGGGCGAGAGCCUGAACCAGCCAAGUAGCGUGCAGGAUGACGGCCCUAGGGGUUGUAAACUGCUUUUAUAAGGGAAUAAAGUGGGUCACGUGUGACUUUUUGCAUGUACCUUAUGAAUAAGGACCGGCUAAUUCCGUG
rnacentral:rRNA from 1 species